UGGGGAAUAUUGGACAAUGGGCGAAAGCCUGAUCCAGCCAUGCCGCGUGUGUGAAGAAGGCCUUUUGGUUGUAAAGCACUUUAAGUGGGGAGGAAAAGCUUAUGGUUAAUACCCAUAAGCCCUGACGUUACCCACAGAAUAAGCACCGGCUAACUCUGUGCCAGCAGCCGCGGUAAUACAGAGGGUGCAAGCGUUAAUCGGAAUUACUGGGCGUAAAGCGCGCGUAGGUGGUUAUUUAAGUCAGAUGUGAAAGCCCCGGGCUUAACCUGGGAACUGCAUCUGAUACUGGAUAACUAGAGUAGGUGAGAGGGGAGUAGAAUUCCAGGUGUAGCGGUGAAAUGCGUAGAGAUCUGGAGGAAUACCGAUGGCGAAGGCAGCUCCCUGGCAUCAUACUGACACUGAGGUGCGAAAGCGUGGGUAGCAAACAGGAUUAGAUACCCUGGUAGUCCACGCCGUAAACGAUGUCUACCAGUCGUUGGGUCUUUUAAAGACUUAGUGACGCAGUUAACGCAAUGAGUAGACCGCCUGGGGAGUACGGCCGCAAGGUUA
rnacentral:rRNA from 1 species